AUUGAACGCUGGCGGCAGGCUUAACACAUGCAAGUCGAGCGGGGAUAGGGUGCUUGCACCUGAUUCCUAGCGGCGGACGGGUGAGUAAUGCUUAGGAAUCUGCCUAUUAGUGGGGGACAACAUCUCGAAAGGGAUGCUAAUACCGCAUACGUCCUACGGGAGAAAGCAGGGGACCUUCGGGCCUUGCGCUAAUAGAUGAGCCUAAGUCGGAUUAGCUAGUUGGUGGGGUAAAGGCCUACCAAGGCGACGAUCUGUAGCGGGUCGGAGAGGAUGAUCCGCCAAACUGGGACAGAGACACGGCCCAGACUCCUACGGGAGGCAGCAGUGGGGAAUAUUGGACAAUGGGGGGAACCCUGAUCCAGCCAUGCCGCGUGUGUGAAGAAGGCCUUUUGGUUGUAAAGCACUUUAAGCGAGGAGGAGGCUACCGAGAUUAAUACUCUUGGAUAGUGGACGUUACUCGCAGAAUAAGCACCGGCUAACUCUGUGCCAGCCGCCGCCGUAAAAC
rnacentral:rRNA from 1 species